CCUACGGGAGGCAGCAGUGAGGAAUAUUGGUCAAUGGACGAGAGUCUGAACCAGCCAAGUAGCGUGAAGGAUGACUGCCCUAUGGGUUGUAAACUUCUUUUAUAUGGGAAUAAAAUGUUCCACGUGUGGGAUUUUGUAUGUACCAUAUGAAUAAGGAUCGGCUAACUCCGUGCCAGCAGCCGCGGUAAUACGGAGGAUCCGAGCGUUAUCCGGAUUUAUUGGGUUUAAAGGGAGCGUAUGUGGAUUGUUAAGUCAGUUGUGAAAGUUUGCGGCUCAACCGUAAAAUUGCAGUUGAAACUGGCAGUCUUGAGUACAGUAGAGGUGGGCGGAAUUCGUGGUGUAGCGGUGAAAUGCUUAGAUAUCACGAAGAACUCCGAUUGCGAAGGCAGUUCACUGGACUGCAACUGACACUGAGGCUCGAAGGCGUGGGUAUCAAACAGGAUUAGAUACCCGAGUAGUC
rnacentral:rRNA from 1 species